UGGCACUAUACUGCUUUAGAUGAAGAUACACUGCAAAGGACUUUCUAAGGAACCCAGAACAGUUGUCAGUUUGACCCACUCCCUGCAUGCACUUUGUUCUGGAAAAUCAGAUAAAAUCCAGCCCAGAUAACCCAAACUGUGCUACAAGUAAAGUGGAAUUCUGCUGUCUGCAGCAUAGUGUAAAACAUUCUGCUGCUGUUCCUGAGCAACAGAUAGCAAGUUAUACAGACCAGGAGCAAAUGAGCUCUGGAAAUGUCAGCCAGCAGCCUUUCUACUUUCCAGGGCUAUCUGAGCAUCUCGUCACUCCUUUCUGGGAAAAGGAGGUACAAGUCUUUUCCAGACCUUUCUGAGGAUCCUGAGGAAUGAACCGGCAACCUCUGCGUGUGCUGUUGAGAUGUUGCCUGAGGCCGAAUGCCCAGUUGUGGUCAUAAUCCCUUUUCCAGCAUCCUGUCAACUGUAAAGUUUUCAAUCCAUGAGGUUUAUGAUGGCUUCUUCCUCUGCUGUUCCAAAGACUCUUCUGCCAGCAAAUUUACUGGAUUGUCCUGGCUGUCUGUUUCACAGUUUUUCCUUGAUGAAAAUUUCUAAUUCAAUUUAUAUNUUUUCCAUGACUGGAAGAGAAGAGCAGCCAGACCAAAGUCUGCAGGGGCAGGAGGCGGCAACUACUAACCUUAAUCAGGAAAAGCUGGAGCUGUAUUGCUCCCCAUUUCAUUGAUCUGGAGCUCUGGCCUUUUCAAACAAUGUUAUUAAAGAGAAAUCCCUGAUGUUUGGAAUCUUGUGUCAAUCUCUUGCUUUGUGAUUAAGCAACAGUUUUAAUUGGAAGUUUGACAUUUAAAGGGUGUGAGAUGUAAAUCGGGCCAGGAUCUGGUUUUAAUCACUGUUGGGGCAUGUUUCUCUUUUUAGACUAAUGAAGUUGUAGCGUUGGCAAGCACAACAUUCUUGGAUUGGUGUAGAUAUGCAUCUAGCUUGUUUCCUGAACUGGCAGCAUUAUAGUUUCUAAUUUUACGGCUUGUCUCUUCUCUCUCCCCCCCCCCCCGGAAGGAGGCACAAAAAUAGCAUGGGUCUUGAUUGGCGUGGUGGCAAUGCACCAGCUAGCAGGGCGGCAGAUAACGUGACUAAACUGCCUUGCCUUUAUUUAAGGUAUUGACAGAUUUUACCACCCUCCGUCCCUCUUCAAAUAUUACCUUUC
rnacentral:lncRNA from 1 species